GCGGAUGGGAAGUCGACAAAGCUCGGCCCCGGAAGGCCUCCAUCCCGCGCCAUCGAAGCCAACGCCCUGCACCGCACCACCAGCUCGAUUCAGAUCUUCGAGAUCCCGGAUCCGCCGUCCCGCGGACUCCGGCGAGGGAAAAGAGCACCCAGCAGCUCCACCGAGCCCCGAGCACGCGGAAGACGGAAGAUCGGCAGCGGAGCUCCUCGGACCUCCACCGCCGGAGAGGAAGACCUUCGUCGCAAAACGCCACUCCGGCCGCGCCGCUCACUCCCCAACGCCGCCGGCUAGCUGCCAAACCGAACCUACGCUAUAUAAACGCCACAGAUCGGGGCCUCCCCAUCCUCCCGCUGCCG
rnacentral:rRNA from 1 species